rnacentral:rRNA from 1 species
ACGUAGGGGGCAAGCGUUAUCCGGAUUUACUGGGUGUAAAGGGAGCGUAGACGGCACGGCAAGCCAGAUGUGAAAGCCCGGGGCUCAACCCCGGGACUGCAUUUGGAACUGCUGAGCUAGAGUGUCGGAGAGGCAAGUAGAAUUCCUAGUGUAGCGGUGAAAUGCGUAGAUAUUAGGAGGAACACCAGUGGCGAAGGCGGCUUGCUGGACGAUGACUGACGUUGAGGCUCGAAAGCGUGGGGAGCAAACAG